AGGCUUCUGCCAGCCCCUUUGUCAAGGAGGAUCGGAGAUGCGGGCUGGAGCGUGAGUAGCCUGGAUACCUGGCUGGUCCCUGGGCUCUGUGGCUUCUGAACCCAGGGUGCUUGGCACUGCCUCCCACUGACACCUGCUGCCCGGGUCUCAUUGUAGAAUCAAGCCAGGGAGGACUUCGACCAGGCCAUCGGCUGGUGCGUCUCCCUCAUCACCGACUACAGGGUCCGGUUAGGCUGUGGGUCUUUUGCUGGCUCUUUCCUGGAAUAUUACGCGGCUGAUAUAAGCUAUCCUGUCCGAAAAUCCAUCCAGCAGGACGUCCUGGGGACCAAGUUUCCUCAACUGAGCAAGGGGAGCCCCGAGGAGCCCGUGGUGGGGUGCCCCCUGGGGCAGAGGCAGCCCUGCCGGAAAGUGCUCCCCGAC
rnacentral:sRNA from 1 species